rnacentral:tRNA from 1 species
GGGCCCGUAGCAUAACCUGGAUAAGGUGGAUGCCGCGUCUUCAACGCCGUGCACUUCCAGUGAGUGCGGCCGGCUUCGGACCGGUUGAUUAGGGUUCAAAUCCCUACGGGCUCA